AUUUGAGCUAGGCACGCCAAUGUUAUUUUUCCCAGAUUCACCAGAGAAACUCCUCAUCCUUUCCUUAGGUGGAGUGAAUGAAAGAGAAUCCAAAUAUUAUAUUAACUGAAUUAUCUUCAAAUGAGAGAAAAUAUCAAGAAAAACGAGUGUGCGAGAAGUAUGUUGUAAUUGAAGUAGCAUACUGCCUGACACCCAAGAGGUUGCUCUGUAAGUGAAAAAAGAAACUACCAUCUAAAUCCAGUUAUUCCAUCUGACUUGGUAGCAGUGAUGUUUGGAGUUUAGGACCUAAAGGUGAAAUGGGGAAAAUCUGGGUGCUCGGAAAGACACCAGAAGCACACAGAAGAAGAUCAUAUGAAGACACAACAAGAAGGUGACUAGCUGCAAGCCAAGAAGAGAAGCCUCAGAAGAAAUCAAACGUACUAGCACCUUGAUCUUGGAAUUCCAGUCUCCAAAGCUGCGAGAAAAUAAAAUUCUGUUGCUUAAGCUGCCAAGACUAUGGUAUUUUCUUAUGGCAAUCUUAGCAAAAUAACCCUAUUAGCAAACAAAUGCAUACAAAAUCUCUGUAAAUACAGCAGGUUUCCUUUUUAAAAAAACUCUUUAUUUUGAAAAAUUAUAGUUCUACAACAAAUAAUAAAAAAGAUAUACAGGAUGGUCCUAUUUACUCUUGACUCAGUUUCCCUUAUAGUAACAUCUUAUAUAACUACUAGGAAAAUGAUGUUGAUACAUUCCACAUAUCUUGUUAAAAUUUAACCAGUUUUACAUGUAUUAGUUUGUUCUAUGCAAUUUUCUUGCAUGUGUAGACCCAUGUUACCACUACCAUAGAGAAAAUCCAGAAUCAUUCCAUCACCAGAGGCUCCUUCAUGCUGUCUCUUUAUACUCAUUCUUACCUCUUUCUCUAGCUCAUCCCUAACCCCUCACAACCAUUAAUCUGUUCUCCAUCUCUACAACCCUGUUAUUUCAAGAAUGCCAUAUAAUGAGAAUCAAAAUUAAGUGAACUUUUGGGACUAUUUUCACUCAGAAUAAUUCUCUUGAAAUUCAGCCAAGUUAUUGUGUGCAACAAUAACUCAUUCCUUCUUAUUGCGGAGUAGUAGUCCAUGAUAUGGAUGCACUACAGGUUCCUUAACCACUUACUAGGAUAUUACAGUUGUUUACAGUUUGAAGCUAUUAUGACUAAAGCUGACGCUCACAUUUAUAUAUAAGUUUUUAUACAGAAAUAUGUCUCCAUUUCUCUGGAAAAAAAAUCCCAAGGGUACAAUUGCCGAGUCAAAUGUUAAGUGAAUGUUUACUUUAAAAGUGUUAUAUUGUUUUUUAGAGUGGGUGUACCAUUUUACAUUACCAUCAGCAAUGUAUAAGAGGUCCUGUUUCUCAGUAUCAGGCAAUAGAUAAUGUAUGUGCCAUGUAUACGUUUCCAGAACAUGAAAGUAUAGGAAUCUUCUUUUAUUUUAUUAUGUUAGCAUACCCUUCACACUCAAACCUAGCUGUGUGCUGAAAAGGUGAUUCUCUGGAAUUUAAGGAACUUAAAACCCCUGAUUUAUAGCAACUGCAUAUUUUCCAGUUGUGGCUAUUUCCCACCGUGGUUUUCAAACUACCCACAUGACUUAAUUGAAAGUGAAUUAAGGAAAAAAAUACUCACAAGUAGUUCUCACACAGUUCUCACUGGCACAAGCCAGUUCCAGCACACUGCUGCACAUACACAAACAUAUGCACACAUGCAUACACACAUAUAUACACACAUGCAUAUUCACAGACACAUAAAAACACAGAUGCAUAGAGACACCAGAUUUAUCUCCUUCAUUCGUACAGAUGGACCAUUAAAUAAGAUGACAAGAUGAAUUUAAUAGCAUGACAUAAUCAAAUAUAGAGACAGAUAUAAAAUACAUAGAGUAUGAAACUAUGAAACAAUUUUGGAAAUAAAAGUGUAUAUUAAUGUGCAAAUAUAUGUAUAGAAUAUGAGACUGAAAACACCAAAAUGUUGAUACUGUUUAUUUCUGGGUAGUUGGAUGACAAGUGAAUUUAGUUUUUCUGAUUGUGCUUUUCUUUAUCUUUAAGGAACAUGUUUUCUUUUAAUCAGAAAGAAAUAAUUACAUAUAUAUGUAAUUAACAUAUAUUGUAUAAUAUAUAUCACAUAUAUUCCACAUAUAUGGAAUAUAUAUUGUGUUUUAAAGUUUAAAAUGUGAGGAGACCACGUCAAUGAGGAACUUGGAACCAAGUAAAACAUGGAUGGAUAUGUGACAAUAUUGUGGAAUAGAGUGAAAAUUCAGCUCAGAAAUAGUGAAGCUUAUUUUAAAUGGAAACUAAAAUAAGAUCAUGUGGAUUAAAUUAGAGAUAUUUCCAGGAGAAGAUAUGUUUGAGCAUAACUUUCCUCUCCUCCCUAUCUGAGGAAAAUUCUGGAAGAGACUUCAUACGUAUCUAUAUUUGUAUCUAUGUCAGAAAAGGAGAGAAGUAAGGCCUGGGAGGCAGCUUGCUGUUGUGAAAGGAAAAUGAAGUCAGAUGAUCCUUAAUUUGGAUACUCUUUCUUACCAUUUGGGGCAAGUUACUUCCUCAAAGCCUCAAUUUCUUCUUCUCUAGCAUGAGAUUAAUAUUUGUGAUUCAUCAGAAGGUUAAACAAAGCAAUUUUUACAAAGUAAAAAGCAAAUUUUACAAAGAAGGCUUUCAUUUUGUUCUGUCCUAUUUUAUUCUAAAUUAUGGUAUGUUACCCAAAUCCCAGUGGGAGCUUUUGUGAGUGAAUGACAUUAAAAAAUUACUGGAACAGGAAAUAUUUCCCUUUAAUGAACUAGAUGAGAUUUUUUAAAAAAAAACCACUAAUUAUGUAUUUUACAUUAUGGAAACAGAGAUUAUAUAAUGAUAAAAAGAUGUGUAUUAUAUUUUAAAAAAUAGUUACAAAAAGUAAAUCUUUUGUUUUCAUGUGAUCCAUUCAUUUGUCCAUUAUUCAACAGAUAUUUAUACAAUACUAAUUCAGUGAAAACCAGCAUUAGCUUAGGAGAAAGUAUUAGGAAGUACAAGAUUAAUGACAUCUGGGACCAAGAAAUUUUCAGUAAAAUCAAUGAAUGGCAUUUUGCUUAUUUCGGAACAGCAAAAUAGAAAUAGUCAAUACUAUAGUCUCUGCAUCUAGUCCUUCUGUGUGAAUAUGUAUCUAGAGGCUUAUGCAAAAUAAUGCCUAAGGUUAGGACAAGCACUUUUAUUCAGCUGAUAAUAAAAUAUAUAAAGUGUACAAUGAAUAUCCAAAUGUAUAAUAAUCUAAUCCAGAAUUACUCAAUCUAUGAAUUAUUAAGAUAUGGUAAGGACAAGAUUAAAACUAUGUUUUUCUGCCUGGCUGUCUUUAAACUAUUGUUACAUGGCAACCCUUUAACAACCCAGUAGUUAGCCAUGAUCAUUGUAUUAGGCUGCUUGGGUUGCUGUAACAAAAUGUUAAUACCAUAGACUGGGUGGCUUAAAUAACAGACCUUUAUUUCUCACAGUUCUGGAGGUUGGGAAGUCCAAGAUCAAGGUGCUGGCCAAUUCUGUUCCUGCCUCUCUUUUCUGGCUUAUAUAUUUCUGCCUUUUUGCCGUGUCCUUGCAAGGCAGAGAAAUAUCUUCUCCUACUCCAAUUCUUCCUUCUACUCCUUCUUUUUCUUCAUAAGCCACUAAUCCUAUCAUGACAGCCCUAUUCUCAUUACCUCAUUCAACCUUAAUUAUCUCCCAAAGGGCCCACAUCCAAAUACCGUCAUAUUGAGGGUUAAGGCUUCAACAUCUGAGUUUUGGGGGAGACACAAUUUGGUCCAGAGCAACCAUCAUUUUGCUAAUGCCAUCUGGCUUGUGAAAUAUUAAUAGCAAGUCUAAGACUUUUCUCAAUAUUCAAAGAGGAAGGCUCAAAGAGAUUUUGAUAGUUUUUGGUUGUUUGUGAAUAUAUACAAGCUGAAUAGAAGUUUCAGUGUAAGGAUGGUAUCACACCCUUUCUCACCACCUACUCCCAAAUUUUGAAAGCCAUUACUUGAGAAAUAGACAUCCUCUUGGUGUUGUCAAUGUUCCUGAAUACACAAUAAUUGUUAAUACAUUUUGCAAAGAGAAUAUGCACCGUUGAAAGGGAAUAUUACUUAUUCAUUCAUUCAAAAAAUUAUUGAGCGCUGCUAUUUUCCAAGCACUUUUCUGAAUGCUAAGAAUAUAGGAAUAAUCAAAAGAGAAAAAGUCUCUUCUCUCAAAGAGCAUAUUGCCUUGUGUUGGAGGCAAACCAUAAUUAAACAGACAAGUGAAUAUCUAGUUUGUCAGAUAAUGAUUAGUCCUAUGGAGAAGUAUAAAGCAGGAUACAGGAAAUGGGGAGGGCUGGUAGGUGGGGAGAAGAGUGGUUAUUUUAUGUAGGUAAACAGGGAACCUGAAGUAAAUAAGGGAGUGAGCCAUGCUGAUGUCAGGAGAAAAGUUUCAGAAGGUGAGGAGAACAAAUGCAGAGGCCACAAGGUGAGAGAAUGCUUAGGUGUAUGAAAGACAGCAAGGAGCCCAGUGUAUAUAGACCAACUGAACCAGAGGAAGAAUCAUAGGAGGUGAGAACGGUAAUGUAGGGGAAGAUUACGCUAAACCCUGUAUGUUAUUGUAAGAAUUUUAGCUUUUGCUGGGAGUGAGAUAGGCUACUGAAGGUUUAUGAGCAGAGGAAUCUUAUCAGAUUUAGGUUUUAAAAGUGAAAUGUGUUGGUUGUAGAAACAGCUGACUUUAGAUGGAUAAGGCAGAAAAAGUGAGAUUAAUUGCAAGAUCGUUGCAAUAAUCUAGGAGUUAAAUGGAGGUUGAAUGAAUAAGGGAGAAUGGAAGGGUGAGUGAGAAGGAAUCAGGUUUUAGAUACAUUUAGAAGAAAGAGCUAGAGCCAGCUGACAGCAUUUGCUAAUGGAUUGCAUAUGAAAGAAAGAAGUCAAGGAUAAUCCAAGUUAUUUGGUAUGAACAACGGAGAAACGAAGUUGCCAUUUGUAAAAUAAGUAAGGCUGAGGAAGGAGCAGGUUUGGGGAAAAUGGGAAAUUGAAGUCAAUUCCAGAUCAGUUAUGUUUGAGAAGCCAAUUAGAUACACACAAGGAAAUUCUGAGGAAGGAGUUAGUAUUAUUAAUUUCACUUUAGGAGAGAGAUAUGGGAUUGAGUUUGACGGUGAGUAGUUGUCACUUACAGAUGAUACAUCAAAUCACGUGACAGGAUGAGAUCCUAGAAAGUGAAUGCAAUUACAAAAGGAAUGAGGUCCGAGAAAACCUACUUGGGGCAUUCUAAAGUCAGUGGUCUGAGCGGUCAGAAGGAAUUUACAAAGGAACUGAGAAGAAGAGCCAAUGAGAAAGGGAACUUCUUUUUUUUCACAGUGAGUGCUUGUGAACUUUAAAGGAAUGUGUGAUGAGGAGACUUUUUUUUUAAAUAACUGGAAUUAUAUCUUUCUUUUCUAAUGGUCUAGUAGGAAAAACUGUUUCCUUUAGGGGAGAGGGCAAUUGCUGGAGUAAUAUCCUUAAGUAAUAUCACAAUUUAUUUAUAGUAACAGGAGAGAAUGUCAGGUAUUCAGGUGCAUAGGCAGAUAGAUUGGUACAUGUGGUUGUGGGAGCAUGAGGAACUUCUCUCUUCUUUCUUUUUAAUUCUCACUGACGCAGGAAGUAGACUCCUUGCUGGCAUGACUAUGAAGGCAGAAGAUUAAAGGUUUUUUUCUUUUUUUAAUUUAAAAUUUUUAAUUUUUGUGAGUACAUGGAAGAUUAAAAUUUGAAGAAGACAGCUUAGAAAUCUGGGAAAAUAGACCAUCCUGGCUAACACAGUGAAACCCCUUCUGUACUAAAAAUGCAAACAAUUAGCUGGGUGUGGUGGCGGGCGCCUGUAGUCG
rnacentral:lncRNA from 1 species